rnacentral:rRNA from 1 species
GCGAUACAGGGUGACAGCCCCGUACACAAAAAUGCACAUAUUGUGAGCUCGAUGAGUAGGGCGGGACACGUGGUAUCCUGUCUGAAUAUGGGGGGACCAUCCUCCAAGGCUAAAUACUCCUGACUGACCGAUAGUGAACCAGUACCGUGAGGGAAAGGCGAAAAGAACCCCGGCGAGGGGAGUGAAAAAGAACCUGAAACCGUGUACGUACAAGCAGUGGGAGCCUCUUUAUGGGGUGACUGCGUACCUUUUGUAUAAUGGGUCAGCGACUUAUAUUCUGUAGCAAGGUUAACCGAAUAGGGGAGCCGAAGGGAAACCGAGUCUUAACUGGGCGUUAAGUUGCAGGGUAUAGACCCGAAACCCGGUGAUCUAGCCAUGGGCAGGUUGAAGGUUGGGUAACACUAACUGGAGGACCGAACCGACUAAUGUUGAAAAAUUAGCGGAUGACUUGUGGCUGGGGGUGAAAGGCCAAUCAAACCGGGAGAUAGCUGGUUCUCCCCGAAAGCUAUUUAGGUAGCGCCUCGUGAAUUCAUCUCCGGGGGUAGAGCACUGUUUCGGCAAGGGGGUCAUCCCGACUUACCAACCCGAUGCAAACUGCGAAUACCGGAGAAUGUUAUCACGGGAGACACACGGCGGGUGCUAACGUCCGUCGUGAAGAGGGAAACAACCCAGACCGCCAGCUAAGGUCCCAAAGUCAUGGUUAAGUGGGAAACGAUGUGGGAAGGCCCAGACAGCCAGGAUGUUGGCUUAGAAGCAGCCAUCAUUUAAAGAAAGCGUAAUAGCUCACUGGUCGAGUCGGCCUGCGCGGAAGAUGUAACGGGGCUAAACCAUGCACCGAAGCUGCGGCAGCGACACUAUGUGUUGUUGGGUAGGGGAGCGUUCUGUAAGCCUGUGAAGGUGGCCUGUGAGGGUUGCUGGAGGUAUCAGAAGUGCGAAUGCUGACAUAAGUAACGAUAAAGCGGGUGAAAAGCCCGCUCGCCGGAAGACCAAGGGUUCCUGUCCAACGUUAAUCGGGGCAGGGUGAGUCGACCCCUAAGGCGAGGCCGAAAGGCGUAGUCGAUGGGAAACAGGUUAAUAUUCCUGUACUUGGUGUUACUGCGAAGGGGGGACGGAGAAGGCUAUGUUGGCCGGGCGACGGUUGUCCCGGUUUAAGCGUGUAGGCUGGUUUUCCAGGCAAAUCCGGAAAACCAAGGCUGAGGCGUGAUGACGAGGCACUACGGUGCUGAAGCGACAAAUGCCCUGCUUCCAGGAAAAGCCUCUAAGCAUCAGGUAACAUCAAAUCGUACCCCAAACCGACACAGGUGGUCAGGUAGAGAAUACCAAGGCGCUUGAGAGAACUCGGGUGAAGGAACUAGGCAAAAUGGUGCCGUAACUUCGGGAGAAGGCACGCUGAUAUGUAGGUGAAGCGACUUGCUCGUGGAGCUGAAAUCAGUCGAAGAUACCAGCUGGCUGCAACUGUUUAUUAAAAACACAGCACUGUGCAAACACGAAAGUGGACGUAUACGGUGUGACGCCUGCCCGGUGCCGGAAGGUUAAUUGAUGGGGUUAGCGGUAACGCGAAGCUCUUGAUCGAAGCCCCGGUAAACGGCGGCCGUAACUAUAACGGUCCUAAGGUAGCGAAAUUCCUUGUCGGGUAAGUUCCGACCUGCACGAAUGGCGUAAUGAUGGCCAGGCUGUCUCCACCCGAGACUCAGUGAAAUUGAACUCGCUGUGAAGAUGCAGUGUACCCGCGGCAAGACGGAAAGACCCCGUGAACCUUUACUAUAGCUUGACACUGAACAUUGAGCCUUGAUGUGUAGGAUAGGUGGGAGGCUUUGAAGUGUGGACGCCAGUCUGCAUGGAGCCGACCUUGAAAUACCACCCUUUAAUGUUUGAUGUUCUAACGUUGGCCCGUAAUCCGGGUUGCGGACAGUGUCUGGUGGGUAGUUUGACUGGGGCGGUCUCCUCCUAAAGAGUAACGGAGGAGCACGAAGGUUGGCUAAUCCUGGUCGGACAUCAGGAGGUUAGUGCAAUGGCAUAAGCCAGCUUGACUGCGAGCGUGACGGCGCGAGCAGGUGCGAAAGCAGGUCAUAGUGAUCCGGUGGUUCUGAAUGGAAGGGCCAUCGCUCAACGGAUAAAAGGUACUCCGGGGAUAACAGGCUGAUACCGCCCAAGAGUUCAUAUCGACGGCGGUGUUUGGCACCUCGAUGUCGGCUCAUCACAUCCUGGGGCUGAAGUAGGUCCCAAGGGUAUGGCUGUUCGCCAUUUAAAGUGGUACGCGAGCUGGGUUUAGAACGUCGUGAGACAGUUCGGUCCCUAUCUGCCGUGGGCGCUGGAGAACUGAGGGGGGCUGCUCCUAGUACGAGAGGACCGGAGUGGACGCAUCACUGGUGUUCGGGUUGUCAUGCCAAUGGCACUGCCCGGUAGCUAAAUGCGGAAGAGAUAAGUGCUGAAAGCAUCUAAGCACGAAACUUGCCCCGAGAUGAGUUCUCCCUGACUCCUUGAGAGUCCUGAAGGAACGUUGAAGACGACGACGUUGAUAGGCCGGGUGUGUAAGCGCAGCGAUGCGUUGAGCUAACCGGUACUAAUGAACCGUGAGGCUUAACCUUACAACGCCGAAG